rnacentral:misc_RNA from 1 species
CAGUGGGUUUCGAAGAAAUUAUCGGAAAAAACUUAUCUUUUGAUAGAGAGAGAGAGAGAUUAAAGCCAGAACUGAAGAGAAUAAAAUACUUAGCGAGUGCAAAACCUGGAGGAAGUGUGAUUCCCACCCACAAGAACACCCAUUGAUUUUUGAAUCCUUAACCAUACCCUCCUAUGAACCCUUCUCGGCUUUGGCACAAACCAGGUCUGCUCCAUCUUUGAUUUAUCGAACCGCACCAUGGAGUUCUUCCAGAUCUCUACAUUACUACAUAGACUAAUUAGCUUCUUUCAAGCUCAGAGCUUUCUCAAAAUUUGAUGAUGAAAAAAAAAAAGGAAAGAAACAGAGAAGU